UUUACUCGUUGAACUAGUCUAGUCCUUCAAUCUCUCUGAAGGUGAAACUGCUAGACCAAGUUCAGUGUUUUAUGUUUUACCAAGCAAAAUUCCCUCAUGAAGCAUGUGAAGAACAUUGGACAUAUAGUAUAACAGGGUUGCAACAGAGAGCCUAACAGAUAAGUUAUUUGGGACUUUUACCUUCAUUACGGAUAAGAUCUUAUUGUUACAAAACAGAACAAAUCCACAUGUUGUUUCCUUUCCAAGCCAUCCAAAACACAACAAAACAGCAGGGACGCUCACUUCA